ACUAAAUUGGCAGAAAAUUGCAUCAUAUUUAGAAUAUGAAUAUAGUAAUCUAUUUAGUA
rnacentral:tRNA from 1 species